rnacentral:lncRNA from 1 species
UCUUGACGACCUUUUACUGGUUCAUCUUUAUGUCUGGUAAGGACAUCUUAAUUUUGGGCAGGAAUCUCCUCUUCUGUCGAGUGGAUAUCAUGAGGCUCCCCCUCAGCAUGAUCAUCUUCUUGUAGAUUCAGCAAGUCCCCCUUAGCUGGAACAUCUUCUUGAGCUGUAGAUUUCUCCCCCUCAGUUGGUGUAUUCUCUAUCAUGAGAAUUUCAGGGAUCUCCCCC